GUUGAAGUAGCUCAGCGGGGAGAGCACUAGACUCAAGAUCUCACUGUCCCUGGUUCAAGGCAGGGCUUUGGCA
rnacentral:tRNA from 1 species